GAACAGGAUUAGAUACCCUGGUAGUCCGCACGGUAAACGAUGGAUGCCCGCUGUUUGCGAUAUACUGUGAGCGGCCAAGAGAAAUCGUUAAGCAUCCCACCUGGGGAGUACGCCGGCAACGGUGAAACUCAAAGGAAUUGACGGGGGCCCGCACAAGCGGAGGAACAUGUGGUUUAAUUCGAUGAUACGCGAGGAACCUUAACCCGGGCUUGAACUGCCAGCGAACGAUUCAGAGAUGAUGAGGUCUUUCGGGACGCUGGUGGAGGUGCUGCAUGGUUGUCGUCAGCUCGUGCCGUGAGGUGUCGGCUUAAGUGCCAUAACGAGCGCAACCCUUUUCUUUAGUUGCCAUCAGGUAAUGCUGGGCACUCUGGAGAUACUGCCACCGUAAGGUGUGAGGAAGGUGGGGAUGACGUCAAAUCAGCACGGCCCUUACGUCCGGGGCUACACACGUGUUACAAUGGGGGGUACAGAGAGUCGGAUAUACGCAAGUAUGUUCUAAUCCUUAAAGCCUUCCUCAGUUCGGAUUGGGGUCUGCAACCCGACCCCAUGAAGCUGGAUUCGCUAGUAAUCGCGCAUCAGCCAUGGCGCGGUGAAUACGUUCCCGGGCCUUGUACACACCGCCCGUCAAGCCAUGAAAGCCGGGGGCGCUUGAAGUCCGUGACCGCAAGGAUCGACCUAGAGCGAAACUGGUAAUUGGGGCUAAGUCGUAACAAGGUA
rnacentral:rRNA from 1 species